AGACACGCUGGCGGCGUGCCUAACACAUGCAAGUCGAGCGAGUGAAUCUCCUUCGGGAGUGAAACUAGCGGCGGACGGGUGAGUAACACGUGGGCAACCUGCCUCAUAGAGGGGAAUAGCCUUUCGAAAGGAAGAUUAAUACCGCAUAAGAUUGUAGCUUCGCAUGAAGUAGCAAUUAAAGGAGUAAUCCGCUAUGAGAUGGGCCCGCGGCGCAUUAGCUAGUUGGUGAGGUAACGGCUCACCAAGGCGACGAUGCGUAGCCGACCUGAGAGGGUGAUCGGCCACAUUGGGACUGAGACACGGCCCAGACUCCUACGGGAGGCAGCAGUGGGGAAUAUUGCACAAUGGGGGAAACCCUGAUGCAGCAACGCCGCGUGAGUGAUGACGGCCUUCGGGUUGUAAAACUCUGUCUUCAGGGACGAUAAUGACGGUACCUGAGGAGGAAGCCACGGCUAACUACGUG
rnacentral:rRNA from 1 species